GCUUACGGCCAUACCACCCUGAGCGCGCCCGAUCUCGUCUGAUCUCGGAAGCUCAGCAGGGUCGGGCCUGGUUAGUACUUGGAUUUGAGAAUGCCUGAGAAUACCAGGUGCUGUAAGCU
ensembl:rRNA 5S_rRNA 5S ribosomal RNA